rnacentral:rRNA from 1 species
CAAAAAUCCGGCAGCGUAAUUCAAGGGUGUGCGACGAGUGGCCUUGUGCCGCGAAGCAAUCGGAAGUGGUUCCAAGAAAAGCCUCUAAGCUUCAGUCUAACGAGACCGUACCGCAAACCGACACAGGUGGGCGAGAUGAGAAUUCUAAGGCGCUUGAGAGAACUCGGGAGAAGGAACUCGGCAAAUUGGUACCGUAACUUCGGGAUAAGGUACGCCCUUGUAGUUUGACUGGCCUGCGCCAGAAGGACGAAGGGGUUGCAAUAAAUUGGUGGCUGCGACUGUUUAAUAAAAACACAGCACUCUGCAAACACGAAAGUGGACGUAUAGGGUGUGACUCCUGCCCGGUGCUGGAAGAUUAAAUGAUGGGGUGCAAGCUCUUGAUUGAAGUCCCAGUAAACGGCGGCCGUAACAAUAACGGUCCUAAGGUAGCGAAAUUCCUUGUCGGGUAAGUUCCGACCUGCACGAAUGGAGUAACGAUGGCCACACUGUCUCCUCCCGAGACUCAGCGAAGUUGAAAUGUUUGUGAUGAUGCAAUCUACCCGCGGCUAGACGGAAAGACCCCAUGAACCUUUACUGUAGCUUUGCAUUGGACUUUGAACCAAUCUGUGUAGGAUAGGUGGGAGGCUUUGAAGCGGGGACGCCAGUUCUCGUGGAGCCAUCCUUGAAAUACCACCCUGGUUUGUUUGAGGUUCUAACCUUGGUCCGUUAUCCGGAUCGGGGACAGUGCAUGGUAGGCAGUUUGACUGGGGCGGUCUCCUCCCAAAGUGUAACGGAGGAGUUCGAAGGUACGCUAAUUACGGUCGGACAUCGUGAUGAUAGUGCAAUGGCAUAAGCGUGCUUAACUGCGAGACUGACAAGUCGAGCAGGUACGAAAGUAGGACAUAGUGAUCCGGUGGUUCUGUAUGGAAGGGCCAUCGCUCAACGGAUAAAAGGUACUCUGGGGAUAACAGGCUGAUUCCUCCCAAGAGUUCAUAUCGACGGGGGAGUUUGGCACCUCGAUGUCGGCUCAUCACAUCCUGGGGCUGUAGCCGGUCCCAAGGGUAUGGCUGUUCGCCAUUUAAAGUGGUACGUGAGCUGGGUUUAAAACGUCGUGAGACAGUUUGGUCCCUAUCUGCCGUGGGCGUUGGAAAUUUGAAGGGGGCUGCUCCUAGUACGAGAGGACCGGAGUGGACGAACCUCUGGUGUACCGGUUGUCACGCCAGUGGCAUUGCCGGGUAGCUAAGUUCGGAAGAGAUAACCGCUGAAAGCAUCUAAGCGGGAAACUUGCCUUGAGAUGAGAUUUCCCAGAGCCUUGAGCUCUUUAAAGGGUCGUUCGAGACCAGGACGUUGAUAGGCUGGGUGUGGAACU